CUUUACUGUAGCCUGGUAUUGGGUUCGGGCUUUGACUGCGCAGGAUAGGUGGGAGACUAUGAAGCAAUCCUUGUGGGGGUUGCUGAGUCAACGGUGAGAUACCACUCUGUCAGAGCUAGAAUUCUAACUAAAUGCCGUUAUCCGGCUUUGGAACCGUAUCAGGUGGGCAGUUUGACUGGGGCGGUCGCCUCCUAAAAGGUAACGGAGGCGCGCAAAGGUUCCCUCCGGCUGGUUGGAAAUCAGCCCGUGAAGUGCAAAGGCAUAAGGGAGCUUGACUGCGAGACAAACACGUCGAGCAGGGUGGAAACACGGCCUUAGUGAUCCGACGGCGCUGAGUGGAAGGGCCGUCGCUAAACGGAUAAAAGUUA
rnacentral:rRNA from 1 species